rnacentral:lncRNA from 1 species
GUUCUGUUUACCCAGCAGCCACGUUGUUCCUGUUCCAGUUGGGGUGGAUGUAGACAUUGCUGACGGUCAUGUACUGCUCACGGCCCUCCUGUUUGUAGAUGUCGUGCUCACCGAGGACAACACGCCAAGUUCUUGAGCUACACAAGAUGGAAGAAGAAAUGUUAAUUGUAUACGGGCCUACUGCCUUUUCACAUCCUUAAUGUCGAAAGUGGUAAAAAGUCAUUUGACAAUAAAUGAAUGAAGAAAGAGAGAAAGAUCUUACCCAAAGCGGCCAGCACACUCAACAACAGGAUCCUCAGCAUGUUUGCAGUCUUUCUGGACCUUCUGCACUCUGAGCUCCUCCAUCAUCCCUAUAUAUACACACCCACAGACGGUCAAGCGGCGCUGGACACAACAGGUUUUCUGAUGCUUACAGGUGUGUGAAUCCCACCGAUAACACCGGUGCCAAGGCCAGCGUGCCAGAUGCAGAAUAAGCAAUUUUUUCUGCUUUGAUAAUGUUUAACC